CCAUUGAAAAUGAAUCAUGAAAAUGUUGUGCUGCUCAGUUAACCGAUUGGUGGCUUUAGUCUUUCCAGCGCCACCAGAGGUCAUGGCAUUGAGUUGCAGGAAUGUGAGAAACGCGAGUGCCAGAGUUCUGACUGCCCACGUGAAGCGUGGAGCAGAUUUUAAAAGCAGCUGCUGUUUUAUGUGAUGGUUUGAUUUAUCCUGACGAGUUGCAAUAAGGAUUUUUUUUUUCUUUGCACUUAGCUUUCACCUCCCACUAAUGCAAACAAAUCGGCUCUUCCACUUUUCUCUCCGCUGUAGCCUUUUGCAGCUCUUGUGCUCAGUCCGCACGUCACUUUGCAGCUGAAUAAAAACAAACUGCAGUGACGACAAUCGGAGCCGCAUCACCCCGCUUGUUUUAACGCCACCUCCGCGUGCCCGACCUGGUGUCAUAGCUUUCCUCUGCGCACUUGGGAAUAUUAUUAAAAGUGAUCUGAAACUUGAACACUGCAUUUAAUUUCAGUAAUUUGCAUUCAUAGUUUCCACUUAAUUGUUGCACUUCUUCGAACUCUGGUGGUUUUCCAGACUUGAUCCUGACAAACGUCUUGCGUACAGCGUAACAAACGUGAAUCGCACUUACUUUGAUCGUCUUCACGCAGCAGCGGUCACGGCCCAACUUGAGUUCCAUGUCGGAGCUCAAACUGAAAAACUAGAAUAGGCGUUUGAUGUGGAACUGCUGAAUGUGACACGAAGAUUCUGACCGGGUUAAUCUCGCUCAGGACUCGGUGUCCUUCCUCACCCAACGUAACUCAUUGGAAGAUGAUCAGUACUGUUCCGGUGUUGUCGUUUUUCUGACCCAACAUGCCCGCGGAUCCUCAGCUACUUCAGAAUCUUCAGGAUUUGAGCUGGUGUGUUUUGUUUAAGGGGAGCGUGCAUUAAUAAGACGGCGGAAGGUUUUGGGUUUGAUGAUGCAAUCAGGGCUCGUUUCCCGUCAUUUGAGGAGCAGAGACGCAAACAGACGGAAAACCGGUGUGGUAAUAAAAUUUUGCCUAUUUUAGGCACUUUAGAAAAUCACUACAGUGGAAUCCACACAGUGUGACGAGCUGAUGUGAAUGUUUUUUCCUUCGGUGCAGGAAACUCAGAGAAUCGGCUGCCUUUUUUGUUGUUGUUUUUGCUGUUUUCUCACAGCGAGGUGACAGAAACUGAAGGAAUCAUCUACAUUUUGGGUAAAAUUGCAAAAAUAAAUUAAAGAAUUCAUGACUUAAAAAAAUAAAAAGCCUGUCAGUUUUACAGGUGGUUUAAAAUAUUUAGUUGGUAAUGUUUAAGUUCUGGCAGAAAUAAUCAUAUAAACUUGUGCAAUUUGAAUUCUAAGUUCUUCUAAAGAAUAAAAUAUACGUUUUUAAUGAACAAACCUGUACGGUUUACUCAGAACUUGACAGUAAGUUGAGUUUGAACUUGUUUGAAAAAUUUAUUAAAAUUGGGGGGGACAUGAUUGUGACCAUUUUUAUGAUGUCUGUAAAAUGUCACAACAGCUUUGACUCUGACGGAUUCUUUUGGAGGCACUUAGUGUUUUUCUUUUGUUGCCCUGAGCCAAUCACCGGCCUUUAUUUAAAACAAAAAAGGUAUAAAGAUGCCACGUGUCUCUGGAGCCAACACUAUUAUCAGCUUGAUACUUAUUUGUUAAAAAGUAAUAAAUGGCUAAUCUAUAUACUUAACAUUGUUGGUAUAUGUGGUUCACAUUGUAAAAGAAAUAAAAACUCUGAGUUGGAA